CGCGUAGGAAUCUACCUAGUAGUGGGGACAACAUGUGGAAACGCAUGCUAAUACCGCAUACGCCCUACGGGGAAAGGGACCGGGAGUCUUCGGACCGGUCGCUAUUAGAUGAGCCUGCGUAAGAUUAGCUAGUUGGUGGGGUAAAGGCCUACCAAGGCGACGAUCUUUAGCUGGUCUGAGAGGAUGAUCAGUCACACUGGAACUGAGACACGGUCCAGACUCCUACGGGAGGCAGCAGUGGGGAAUAUUGCGCAAUGGGGGAAACCCGUGACGCAGCCAUGCCGCGUGUGUGAAGAAGGC
rnacentral:rRNA from 1 species